GGGAUUGUAGUUCAGGGGUAGAACGUUUCUUUCGCAUAGAAAAGGUCUUGGGUUCAAUUCCCAACAAUUCCA
rnacentral:tRNA from 1 species